UUGACUUGACACGUUGCACGAUC
rnacentral:siRNA from 1 species